UUCGCUCACGCUUCGUGCACUCACGUUCGGUCGUUCGGUCUCCGGUGCAUCGGCUUCCGGCGAUAUCGCGUGCUAUAAACUGACGUCGUUCGUCCGUGUCACGCGGUCUUCCCGACAACGGAGACGGGACAAUUUAAGUGCGAUACUUUGGGACUGCAGUCCGAGAAUUUAUUGGAACGAUAAAGUCAAUUGUUUCAAAUUGAAAUAGAGUAUUCGCCGAUACGAUAUUGUACAUAUUAUUAUUUGCUGGUAACCGCCCACCGGAGCCGUGCACGUUUCAUGUUAUACAAGUAUACAACUAUAAUAUAAUAUUAUUAUUAUAAUAAUACAACGAAACAAAAGUCACGGAAUGGUUAUUUUGUGUUUUGUAACGUCUUCUUUAAUAUCUAUUUACAUUAUUAUUGUCUCCGUGGAGUGCUUUGUGUUUUGUCUGUCUGAGUUAUACGACCAUUCGGAUUUUUCUGCACUCAAUUUAUUACCUAUUUUUAAUAUAGAUUGGAUGGAUCCCAACCUUGAUCUGUGUCAUGUGAUCUUGCCCAAAAAGGGCGGGUGAUCACAUGACUUUUCAAAUGUCUUGAAUGUCGUUCUUUUGGCGAAUAAUCGAAUGGUCCGGACUGUAUGCCUAUUACGAGAGUCGAGAGAUCCUAUAAUAUAGAUACUGAUUAGGUAGCAGCAAACAAUCCAAUCUUUUCCCGCCUUUCUUAUGUUUGUUUGAAUUGAGUUAUGUUUUAAAAUUAUUGCAUAUUUUAUUUUAAAUGUAAACAUUUAACAUUCAAAAAUUAUAUUAAAUACAAUGAAUUAGCAUUAGAGGUUAUUAAUUGUAACUAUAGUUUGUAUGGUCAAAUAUUCAUGAUAUAUUUUAAUUUUAUUAUAUUUGAAAAAAAGUUGUUAUAAAAUUAUAGCUCAAUUUCGCAUGAUAUUCUACAUUUGAUUGUAUUAUUUAACGAUAAAUAACGCCUAUAGAUCAGUGAUAACAACCAACCAAUAGAAAACAUUUACCAGCAAACAACUAUUUUAUUAACUAGGCCCUCCAUUCAUUUAUGUCGAUAUAGCUUAUAAUUUUA